rnacentral:misc_RNA from 1 species
GCUCCAAGCUCGAAAAUGCAACCUGCAAUUUUGUUCCAAAUUUAUUAAUAAUGUGGCACUCCAUGACAAUUUGAGUAAAUUAUAGUAGUAGUCAUGUAAUUUUGAGGAUAUUUCAUUUUAAUCACUCAAUUUUAAUUUAUUAAAAUAAUAUCAUUCAACUUUAACAUAUGUUCAAAAAAAUACUCGACUUGCUAUAGUUGAUUUUCCAAAUGCUAAAAUAAAAUUACCAUUUUAACCUUUUUCUCUCUUUUCUUUCUCCAUUCCUCUCCUUUCUCUUUCACUUUCAAUCAAAAUAAAAAUAAAAAGUUAUUUCCUUUGUCUAUUUUUAUCUAUACAAUUUUAUAAGCGAGAUAAAUAAUAAUUUAGUCAAUUACUAGUAUACUUUUAU